ensembl:lncRNA
CACGAGAUCUGCUGCAUUUUUGGGCGUGCGAGCGAGUGGCACGCAAUACCUGGGAGGGCACGCACUCGCACACCGCGUGGCUGAGCGGGCUAAAGGUGCGAUAGGGAUCGUUGUUUUGUCUGAGAACUGCAGAGGUCACAUGCUCCAUAAGAGGAGGGCCGGGGGCGCGCACGUGCAAACAGCAAUCUGCUACCAAAAAAUACAAACAACUGUGUUUGGAGGAGGACUUUGACCACAUUGUGAGGACAAAUCAUACUUUAUGUAAAGAUAACACUCACUCGGGGGUGGCAAGACUCACAGCGGAACCACUCUUCGGAAACUGGAUUCUUGGACGGACCACCAUGAUGGCCAGCAGUGCUGUCAGCACAUACAGGCCCCAACGCCGCUAAUAGAGGGAGGUGUUUGCUAAGCCAUGAAAGACUUGCCUGACAGGUAACCCUAACGAGCACUGCUGUGGAUCCCAGGCAGCCGACCCACUCUGUCCCUUCCCUGAACUCCGGCACGCAGCCGUUAGGAUGCUGAAGAAAAGGUUGUUCAACAUAGAGUUGAAUUGGGAUGCAGAGUGGUGAAGGGUCCCCCACUAUUCUAAUUUGAAGGGGAACAGACCGGGACAGAGAGGAAAGGAGACAUGUCUUCAAGUGAGGAGAAAAGACUUUCCUUUUUCUAUGUGACAUCCCCUGUUGUGCACACGGCUUAUCUGAUUAGCGAGACCGAAGACAUCUGAACCCACGGCCCCCAAAGCCCACUGGGGGAGAGGCCGCCAACAGCUCAAGGAGCAGCUGGAGGACCACAGGAGGCUCAUCAGAAGCAGGUCCAAACAGGAUUAGAGAAAAGCAUGGAAACUAUUGUGUCAGUAAGUAUGCUAUGUCAUCAAAUCUCAUAGCAAAGCAUGUCAUUAAAAUGUUAUAAAACUGCUGACAAAAGAAUGACAAAAUGUACUUUUAAUCAAUAAGAAUAAAAUCGUACAUUUCCUAACAAUUGUUUGUGUGUUUUUAUACAAAUCACCACUGUAGACAACAACAAAAAGUAUAUGAAAACAGUUAAUGAUGCUAUAAGAUAAAAA